rnacentral:rRNA from 1 species
CACGAGUACUGCCGGUAUCAAGCCGGAGGAAGGUGGGAGUGUAUGUCAAGUCAGCAUGGCCUUUAUAUCCUGGGCUACACACACGCUACAAUGGCAGAUACAAUAGGUUGCGAAACCGCGAGGUGGAGCCAAUCCUCAAAGUCUGUCUCAGUUCAGAUUGUAGGCUGCAACUCGCCUGCAUGAAGUUGGAGUUGCUAGUAAACGCAGGUCAGCUAUACUGCGUUGAAUACGUUCCCGGGUUU